rnacentral:rRNA from 1 species
UACAGAGGUCCCGAGCGUUGUUCGGAUUCACUGGGCGUAAAGGGUGCGUAGGUGGUGAGGUAAGUCGGAUGUGAAAUCUCCGGGCUCAACCCGGAAAUGGCAUUGGAAACUACCUUGCUAGAGGAUUUGAGGGGGGAUUGGAAUACUUGGUGUAGCGGUGGAAUGCGUAGAGAUCCGGAAGAACACCGGUGGCGAAGGCGGUUAGCUGGGCAGUUGCUGACACUGAGGCGCGACAGCGUGGGGAGCAAACAGG